GGAAUGUAGCUUAGUGGUAUAGCCCUUCUCUGGCACGUGUAAGGUCCUGGGUUCCAUUCCCAGCACCG
rnacentral:tRNA from 1 species